rnacentral:tRNA from 1 species
GUGGGUGUAGCUCAGUUGGUUAGAGCGCCAGGUUGUGGCCCUGGAGGCCGUGGGUUCGAACCCCAUCACUCACCCCA